rnacentral:rRNA from 1 species
UACGGAGGGUGCAAGCAUUAAUCGGAUUUAUUGGGCGUAAAGGGCGCGUAGGCGGGUGUGUAAGUCAAGUGUGAAAUUCCGAAGCUCAACUUCGGAGCUGCACGUGAAACUGCAUAUCUUGAGGAGUGGCGGAGAAAAUGGAAUUCCACGUGUAGCGGUGAAAUGCGUAGAUAUGUGGAAGAACACCUGUGGCGAAAGCGGUUUUCUAGCUUAUUCCUGACGCUGAGGCGCGAGAGCAAGGGGAGCAAAC